CAAGUGGAAAAUGGGACAAUUAAGUCAAGGGCACUAGAAAUAAAAACUGGAGUACCUCAGGGCUCCAUAUUAGGCCCCCUUUUAUUUUUAUUGUUCAUUAAUGAUUUGCCCCUUCAUAUAACCUCAUCUCAAGCAGACCUCUAUGCAGAUGAUACUACCAUUCACUGCACAGGUCGUAGUCUCAAUACCAUCCAGGACAGCAUUACAAAUGAUUUAGAAAGAAUUGAAGAAUGGUGCAAGGGAAAUAAUAAGAUGUAUAUAAAUCCAACAAAAACUACAUCUAUGGUUAUUGGUUCUAGACAGAAACUAGCAAAAACAGACCAUGUUCUGAAUUUGAGUGUUGGUAACUCACAAAUUAGAGAUGUUAAUUGUGAAAAGCUCCUUGGGGUUUUUAUUGAUGAAAAUCUUGAGUGGACAGCCCAAAUUGACACUUUGUGCACAAAAAUCAGUACAAGGCUAAAUCUUUUGUCUAGGAUAAAGAAAUCCCUACCCCUUGAAACAAGAAAGUUAUACUUUAAUGGUUAUAUUCUCCCUAUUUUGGAUUACUGUUGUACAAUUUGGGGAAACACCAGUGACCAAAAUACAAAUAGAUUAGAUAAACUUCAAAAACGAGCAGCUAGAAUUAUUCUUGAACUUCCUUAUGAUACCCCAUCUAAUACAAUGUUUAAAAAGUUAUCAUGGCUUCGAUUUACUGAUCGUGUGAUUUACCACAAGGCCUUAUAUGUUCAUAGAUGUUUAUAUGGAUCUGUUCCAGAAUAUUUGUCUAACAAAAUCUCCUAUGUUUCAAAUAAAAAUGGAAUGCAACUUAGAUCAAAUACUACCCAAUUACUUAAUAUACCAAAGGCAAGAACAAACACAUUUAGAAGAUCUUUUUCAUAUUCUGGCCCAACUUUAUGGAAUAAACUACCAGAAGCACUAAGACACAUGUCAAACAUAAAUACUUUUAAAACAAACUGCUUUAAGUUUUUACUUGAAAAUCCAGGAAAUAUUUAAAU
rnacentral:lncRNA from 1 species